UGCCCGAGGACCCCCAUGUCCUCUAUGUGUGGGAUUCUGCAGUUUGCACUCACAACCCAGAGCCUUUUACCCAACUACCCUGUUUGUAGGAAUGUGUCCAAAAUAAGCAUCAGACAAGUACAUGAAGAUGAAUGUGCAAAGACGUUCAUAACAGGAUUGUUUAUAAUCAUGAAAAAUGAUCUGCAGAUUUCCUGUCUGCUGUGCAGGAUGAGUUAGACGGGGAUGCAUCCAUAAAAUCACUUUGCCCUCAUUUAAAAUUAUAUCAUAGAUCUAUGUUUAAUGACAUAGUAAACGGUACUCAAUGCAUUAAGUGAAAAAAGCAGCUUAUACAUCAGGAUGUAUAUGAUCAAGUUUUUGUUAAAUGGAUGCAUGUAUGCAUGUCAGUAACUGUCUGUGUUUGCAAACAAAACGUCUAGCAAGACGUGCAUCAAAUAUUAACAAUCAUUAUCUUUGGAUUCUGGAUUUAUUAACUUCUAUUUUUGACUUUGCCCUUUGUUUUUCUAUGUUAUCUGACACUUUUACACUGAGUUUAUAUUAUUAUUUUUACAAUUAAAAUAUCAAUCUAUCAAUCUACCUCCAUUUGGGAAGUAGUAAAAAGUA
rnacentral:lncRNA from 1 species